rnacentral:lncRNA from 1 species
AAACAAAUCUCUGAUUGCUUAGGACUGCAGGUACAGCCAAUUGACCUGGGCUUUUUUUUCUUUUUCUUUUUCUUUUUUUUUUCUCACCCCCCCCCACUAGAAAAUUCAAAAUAUUCUGAGACUAUGCAUGAUCUUUGUUGGAAUGGAGGAAAGACAAAAUCUUUGGAGGAGAAAUGUACAUGAUCCAAUUUCAAAAGUUGUUUCUUUUAAUUGGGAAUAAAAUUGGCAAACAUCCAGCAAGACCGAUCACCAUACAGCGAGAAGUCAAAAAACACCCAAGACUAAAAGGAGCCAACUCCACAGACAUACAUUACAAUGGGAAGAAGAAAAUGCCACGAACAAACUAAAAAUUCUGACAACAUGAAUGACAAGAACAGACACUUUUAAAACAUCAUUUCCAAAUGUGAUAAAUGGCUGAAUAUAAAACACAUGUAUAAUUGUUAUGCUGUCCAAGCAGCAGACAUUUUAUUUAGAUUAUUUCCAGUAAGAAAGUUUAUCCAAAUGUCUUGAGAGUGAGUUUGACCAUUUCUUCAAACUCAAGAUGUUUCUAAAAACUGGAUGUUUUGAAAAGUGUGAGUUUUCUGAGGCCACAUCGCCCUGUUACCAGUAUCUGAAAGACUUUACAAGAGGAUUUACAGCUCAGGACCUUUUGGUAGCAUAAACAUUCUUAAGAAAAUGUUGACAAGCAUAAUCCAACCACAUUGAUCACGGCAUUGAUUCUGUUUAAAAUGUAAUAUCAAUGUAUUCCCUGAUAAAGAAGAAAACUCAUUUUAUGAUUUCAGUAAAAAUUCUUAGCAAACUGAAGAUGGGAAUUUCCUGGCUCCAAUAAAAGAAAUCUGAACAACUCAGCACAUCCCCAGUGUUUUCCACAGAGACUAGAACUAAUCUGUUCAUUUUUGC